UAGUGAACUAACAUAAAUAACAAGUUGACUCGGCUGAUCUUUUAAGUAAGUUUUAAGAAAUAUUAGUAUUAUAGUGAUGGGAUUUACAAUAAAGAUUAAUAGUGAUGAGAUUCAAGCAAAAGAAGUAAGGAGGAUUAAGGUCGGCCCGUUAGACUUUUCAAUCUAGGCAUGGGCCAAAAAUUUGGUUUGAUUAAAUUGCCGUCAUGAAAUCAUAGUUACAAUAAAGAUUAAUAGUGAU
rnacentral:lncRNA from 1 species